rnacentral:rRNA from 1 species
UACGAAGGGGGCUAGCGUUGUUCGGAAUUACUGGGCGUAAAGCGCACGUAGGCGGAUAUUUAAGUCAGGGGUGAAAUCCCGGGGCUCAACCCCGGAACUGCCUUUGAUACUGGGUAUCUCGAGUCCGAGAGAGGUGAGUGGAAUUCCGAGUGUAGAGGUGAAAUUCGUAGAUAUUCGGAGGAACACCAGUGGCGAAGGCGGCUCACUGGCUCGGUACUGACGCUCAGGUGCGAAAGCGUGGGGAGCAAACAGGG